GUCCAGAGAUGGGAAUCGAACCCACAGUGUUCCGCUUACCGGGCAGAUGCCAUGUCCACUAGGCUACCCUGGA